CAGAGUUUUUGUUAUUUCUCUUUUGUACAUUCUAUUUAUCUUGCUUUCAUGCACAAAUGACUGAGUAUGAUGAGUAUGGCACACCUCUGGACCGUGAAACAUUUAUGAAAGAGCUUGAGAAUUUCUACAGAUAGCGGUCCUUGGAAUUUAAGCCUCCUAAGUUUUACGAAGAGCCUCUAAAUUACCUUAAGUAUGUAUAAUAUCCCCUGUGAUGCAAGGGUGUAACCCCUUUCUCAUAAGCAUUCUAAAGGCUAGUUUAAGUUGGCCUGACCUCCUUGAUAUUUGAAUGUGUUAUUACAUUGUUCUGAUAGUGGAUCCCUUACUUUUCAACUGGCUGCAGGUUGUGGAGAGCUGUUAUCAGACUGGGUUCCUAUGAUGUGGUAUGGACUUGUCUUACAUGUUAUUUUUGACAGAUCAUCUCUUUGAAUAGUUCUAGGCCAUGGCUGUAAUUCUUGCAUUACUUUUCUUACUUCAAACUCAAGGUUGUUGUUAAUGUUAUUUCUAAUAGCUUCAUCCCGUUCAUAUCUUGCGUAGGAUAAAAGGGCCGUUUAAAUGAACCAAAUGUUUGCAUCACAUGGACUAACCCUAAUUGAUCUAGUUGCUCUAUCAGGUAUUUCAAGCAAUUGGUGCUGUCAGAGGAUUUCUAAGACCAUAUUCUCUUAUCGCAAUUAUAUUUAUUUACAUAUCCCUGUAUAGAAGGGUCUCCAACAACAUUUAAAUCACAUUCUGGUAGAUUGGGUCACCUGUGCAUCAAUCUUGUUUUCAUUCUUCUUAUCCUAACAUAAUUAUAUGGCAUCUAAUGGUCCUAAUCCACCUCCUCCACUCUAGGCACAAUCUAAUAAGGAGAAGGGAAAAAACAACGUGAAGUUGUUAUCACGGUGAUGGAGUGCAACGACAAUGUCAAUCCAAGAUGAACAAAAUUCGUAGUGAUUAUUAGGAAAUUAUAGACUUGUCAGUCUAUGUUGUUUGACAUUUUAUGAAUUGUAGAAUUUAUAUUGUUUGAGAUCUUAGGAACUGCACAAUCUAUUUAUGAAUAUUAGACAUUUUGUAAACUUAUUUGAUAAUGAUUUUUAAGUAAUAUAUAUCUAUUUUUAGUGUGA